rnacentral:pre_miRNA from 1 species
AACGAAUCAACUUUUCAGUUUUUAGAUACAAUAUUUAACUCUUCGUCUUAUUCAAAAAAUUUUUAUGAUUAAUAAUUUUAUUUUUAUUAGAUGAUAAAACAUGAUUAGUACUUUAUGUGUGACUAAUUUUUUAAAAAAUUUAUUGAAAAUUUUUCAAAUAAGAUGGAUGGUCAAAUGCUCGACAUAAAAAUC